rnacentral:rRNA from 1 species
UACGUAGGGCGCAAGCGUUGUCCGGAAUUAUUGGGCGUAAAGAGCUCGUAGGCGGUUUGUCGCGUCUGCUGUGAAAUCUCAAGGCUCAACCUUGGGCUUGCAGUGGGUACGGGCAAUCUAGAGUGCGGUAGGGGAGACUGGAAUUCCUGGUGUAGCGGUGGAAUGCGCAGAUAUCAGGAGGAACACCGAUGGCGAAGGCAGGUCUCUGGGCCGUAACUGACGCUGAGGAGCGAAAGCAUGGGUAGCGAACAGG